GGGGACAGACGCCCAACACAGGUUACAGACGUCCAACACAGGGGACAGACGUCCAACACAGGGGACAGACGUCCAACACAGGUUACAGACGUCCUACACACUGAAAAGACGUCCAACACAGGGGACAGACGUCCAACACACUCGACAGACGUCCAACACAGGGGACAGACGUCCAACACAGGGACAGUCGUCCUACACACUGGAUAGACGUCCAACACAGGGGACAGACGUCCAACACAGGGGACAGUCGU